rnacentral:rRNA from 1 species
CUAAGGUAGCGAAAUUCCUUGUCGGGUAAGUUCCGACCCGCACGAAAGGUGUAACGACUUGGGCACUGUCUCAACAAGGGAUCCGGUGAAAUUGUAGUACUCGUGAAGAUGCGAGUUACCCGCGACAGGACGGAAAGACCCCGUGGAGCUUUACUGUAGGCUGACAUUGGAUUUCGGUAUUGCUUGUACAGCAUAGGUGGGAGACUAAGAUACCAGGGCGCUAGCUUUGGUGGAGUCAUCAUUGGGAUACCACUCUUGCAAUGCUGAAGUUCUAACCAGAGACUGUGAAUCCAGUCUUGGGACACUGUCAGUCGGGCAGUUUGACUGGGGCGGUCGCCUCCCAAAAAGUAACGGAGGCGCUCAAAGGUUCCCUCAGCACGGUCGGAAAUCGUGCAUAGAGUGCAAAGGCAUAAGGGAGCUUAACUGCGACACCUACAAGUGGAGCAGAAAGGAAACUUGGACUUAGUGAUCCGGUGGCACCGCAUGGAAGGGCCAUCGCUCAACGGAUAAAAGCUACCCCGGGGAUAACAGGCUUAUCUCCCCCAAGAGUCCACAUCGACGGGGAGGUUUGGCACCUCGAUGUCGGCUCGUCUCAUCCUGGGGCUGGAGUAGGUCCCAAGGGUUGGGCUGUUCGCCCAUUAAAGAGGCACGCGAGCUGGGUUCAGAACGUCGUGAGACAGUUCGGUCCCUAUCCGUCGUGGGCGCAGGAAAUUUGAGAAGAGCCAUUCCUAGUACGAGAGGACCG